rnacentral:misc_RNA from 1 species
AAGUCGUAACAAGGUUUCCGUAGGUGAACCUGCGGAAGGAUCAUUACAAAUCCAUCCACGUCUCAUUCUUGAGACCACGUUGAAAUGUUCCCUAGUGUCUCGACUAGCACAGCCUUCACCGGCAGUCUGGUCUUGGCACUAGGCUUGUAAACUAGUAUUAUCUGUUGCUCAAUUGUAUCUUUCUUGAUUGUAAUGAUCAGGGUAAACAAAGUACAACUUAUAACAAUGGAUCUCUAGGCUCUU